UGAGUAAAACAGGUGGUCGCAAGUGCCGUUGACGCACUUGAGGAAAGUCCGAACUCCGCAGGGCAGGAUGCUGGAUAACGUCCAGUGGGGGCGACCCUAAGGAUAGUGCCACAGAAACAAACCGCCCAGCAUUCAAUUGUUUAUUUAUCUGACAUUUGAAGAUAUAUGGUUAAAUAAAUAAUUGAGUGCUGGGUAAGGGUGGAAAGGUGGAGUAAGAGCCCACCAGCGGGCUAGGUGACUAGUCUGGCUAGGUAAACCCCAUCCGGAGCAAGGUGAAUAGGGGAACAUGAGAAGUUGCCCGCUUCGUUCCCGGGUAAAACCGCUUGAGGUGUCAGGUAACUGACAUCCCAGAUAGAUGACCGCUUAAAACAGAAUUCGGCUUAUGGUUUGCUCAGCCA
rnacentral:RNase_P_RNA from 1 species